rnacentral:rRNA from 1 species
UGGGGAAUAUUGGACAAUGGGGGGAACCCUGAUCCAGCCAUGCCGCGUGUGUGAAGAAGGCCUUAUGGUUGUAAAGCACUUUAAGCGAGGAGGAGGCUCUCUUGGUUAAUACCCAAGAAGAGUGGACGUUACUCGCAGAAUAAGCACCGGCUAACUCUGUGCCAGCAGCCGCGGUAAUACAGAGGGUGCGAGCGUUAAUCGGAUUUACUGGGCGUAAAGCGUGCGUAGGCGGCUUUUUAAGUCGGAUGUGAAAUCCCCGAGCUUAACUUGGGAAGUGCAUUCGAUACUGAGAAGCUAGAGUAUGGGAGAGGAAGGUAAAAUUCCAGGUGUAGCGGUAAAAUGCAUAGAGAUCUGGAGGAAUACCGAUGGAGAAGGCAGCCAUCUGGCAUAAUACAGACGCUGAUGUACGAAAGAAUGGGGAGCAAACGGG